CUGACCGUGAAGUCCCACUCGGCGGAGUCCUGCGCCAGCACCCGGUCGCCGAAGUGGUCGCCGUCGGCCAGCGUGCCCAGCACGGCGUCGUCGCCGUAGUGCCCCUGGGCGAUCUUGUGCACCUUGCCGUGCGCGAUGAGGACGACCUGGUCGGCGGGGCGCCCCGCCUCGACGAUCACGUCGCCGGCCGCGAACUCCCGCUGCUCGAACCGGUCGGCCAGGGCGCCCAGCACCUCCUCGUCGUCGAAUCCGCGCAGCGUCGGCAGCUCGCACAGCUCCCGCGGGAUGACCCGGACAUCGGCCCCGGUGUUGGUGAAGGUCACCCGGCCGUCACCCACCGCGUAGCUCAGCCGCCGGUUGACCCGGUAGGUGCCGGCGGAGGCCUGCACCCACGGCAGCUUGCGCAGCAGCCAGCGCGGGGAGAUCCCCUGCAUCUGCGGGGUCGACUUGGUCGUCGUCGCCAGGUUGCGCGCGGCCGCGGUCCCCAGGCUCAUCUGGGAUUGUCCGU
rnacentral:antisense_RNA from 1 species